UACGUAGGGGGCGAGCGUUGUCCGGAAUCAUUGGGCGUAAAGCGCGUGUAGGCGGCCCGGUAAGUCCGCUGUGAAAGUCCAGGGCUCAACCCUGGGAUGCCGGUGGAUACUGUCGGGCUCGAGUCCGGAAGAGGCGAGUGGAAUUCCUGGUGUAGCGGUGAAAUGCGCAGAUAUCAGGAAGAACACCCGUGGCUAAGGCGGCUCUCUAGUACGGUACUGACGCUGAGACGCGAAAGCGUGGGGAGCGAACAGGG
rnacentral:rRNA from 1 species